ensembl:rRNA 5S_rRNA 5S ribosomal RNA
UAGUGCUGCCAUGGUACCUUAUCAAACCUGAUCUCAGAAGCUACAGUAAGUAGAGUUAAGCCUGGUCAGUUCUUAGACGGAAGACCGCAUGGGACCACUAGGUGCUGUACAUU